UACGGAGGAUGCAAGCGUUAUCCGGAAUGAUUGGGCGUAAAGCGUCCGCAGGUGGCUGUGUAAGUCUGCUGUCAAAGAGCAAAGCUCAACUUUGUAAAGGCAGUGGAAACUACACGGCUAGAGUGCGUUCGGGGCAGAGGGAAUUCCUGGUGUAGCGGUGAAAUGCGUAGAGAUCAGGAAGAACACCGGUGGCGAAGGCGCUCUGCUAGGCCGCAACUGACACUGAGGGACGAAAGCGUGGGGAUCAAACAGG
rnacentral:rRNA from 1 species